rnacentral:rRNA from 1 species
UUAAACCCAAAGAAUUUGGCGGUACUUUAUUCCAUUCAGAGGAACCUACCCCAUGAUUGAUAGUGCACGAUUAACAUAACUUAAUUUAUUUGUUUGUAUAUCUCCGUUAUCAGAAAAUCUUUGUAGAGUUUAAAUUUUCAUAAUUUAUUAUUUUAAAGUAUUUCAGGUCAAGGUGCAGCUUAUAAUUAAGAGGAGGUGGGUUACAAUAAAUUUUAAUUUAUUACGGAUAUUUUAAUGAAAAUUAAAAUUCAAGGUGGAUUUGAUAGUAAAUUGAUUUAUUUAAUUCUAUUGAUAUUGGCUCUAAUGUGUGUACACAUC